CUGCGUUCGUUGAGUUUCAAUGUUUGUCAGUAGUAAUAACAAACAGUGUUUUCAAGAUUUGCCCAGUUUAUAAUAAUACGAACGAAACGUGGAACAAACUGAAAGAGGAUUUCGAAUGGAGAAUGACCUAUGUUGGGGAGCCAAAUUGAGCCGUCAAAUUCUCAAACUCCGAUAGCUUCAUUUCCAGGCCCCAACAUCGAAGGGAAAAUUUCCUUUCCCCCACAUAAGACACAAACUCCGCUUCCGUCGGCAAAAACAAAAAGUACACAUCCACUCAAAUUUCGACGACAAUCCAAAUGCGUAAACACUCAAAGUGCAAUCACAUAUGCUACCGACAUUCCUUCACAAACAAACAUAUCACAUCCGUGUAAUUCCAUUUCACAUUAAUAACAAUUCACAUUUACAGGUAUUUCACCUCACAAAUUACAUCUAUUAAAUUAAAUGUCACCACUGGCGGACCAUCUCGGACUACUUUCGCUCCGCUAUUUACAAUUUUUGUUGUGCGUUGUUGUUGAUGUUGAUCCUACUCUGUGUCAUAUUUCACGAUCUCCAAUCUACGAUGAAGUGAUGAAUAAUUCACCAACGUGACCGCUUCGUUCGUGAUGAGAUCCCAGAAGGAGAGAACGGCAAAUCACAUUGUUUUUUCCGUUCUCCUAUCGCACAUGUGGGAUACACAAUUCCUGCUGUUUAUGAUCAGCUGUUGUAGACCUUGCAGUUCAUUGUUCUCCAGCAGGCAGCCGUCUCGAUUUUGUAAUCGUGUGUACCAGGCCUGUAUUUGGGGGAGCUGCUACUACUCAUAAACAGUCUAUGUAGGAUCAGCCGAAUCGGAAGAGUACAAUCAGGUUCUUGACACGAUAUAUGUUGGUCCGGUACCAGUGGGGAGACACAUUAUUUCCAGCAGACAUACAUUCCCAAUGUGACACGUACUCCGGAGCUAGACGCAGUGACUCUUCACACUUGUUCAUAUUGUGGUCAAGGAUUCGUGCGAGCCGGUUACGUUAUAAAUAAUUAAUACUCAGAAAUAGAGAGAGAAUGGAAUGACCACUGAGUACAAUCCGAGUGAUGCUUGAAUUGAUGUUGCUUUAAACAUUGCCAGAAUCAUAACGGAACAGUAGAGAACAAUUCAGCAUUACUGCCAGAAUUUAGCAGAAAUUCGAACUCGUGGCCGACGGAAUAUUGGACAUGAAUAUGUUUACUAGAAUGAUCCAUUUUUUCAAUUAUUUUAGAUUGAUGCGGAACCUAAAUUAAGUCUACUGUCGAAUGGCAGCGCGUCAU